rnacentral:rRNA from 1 species
AUUGAACGCUGGCGGCAGGCUUAACACAUGCAAGUCGAGCGGAGAGAGGUAGCUUACUACUGAUCUUAGCGGCGGACGGGUGAGUAAUGCUUAGGAAUCUGCCUAUUAGUGGGGGACAACAUUUCGAAAGGAAUGCUAAUACCGUAUACGUCCUACGGGAGAAAGCAGGGGAUCUUCGGAACUUGCGCUAAUAGAUGAGCCUAAGGCGGAUUAGAUAGUUGGUGGGGUAAAGGCCUAACAAGGCGACGAUCUGUAGCGGGUCUGGGAGGAUGAUCCCGCACACUGGGACUGAGACACGGCCCAAACUCCUACGGGAGGCAGCAGUGGGGAAUAUUGGACAAUGGGCGGAAGGCUGAUCCAGCCAUGCCGCGUGUGUGAAGAAGGCCUUAUGGUUGUAAAGCACUUUAAGCGAGGAGGAGGCUACUUUAGUUAAUACCUAGAGAUAGUGGACGUUACUCGCAGAAUAAGCACCGGCUAACUCUGUGCCAGCAGCCGCAGUAACAC